rnacentral:lncRNA from 1 species
AACCUUUUCUUACUGCAAUUUCAUUUACGCGAUCAAAUAAAUGUUUAUUAUGCUUAAGAUUCUCAGGUUGAAACCUUGGUAAGUUCUUUCGAAAAUCGUUAGGAGAUAAUUCUUCAACCAUCUUUGGUCCUGAUGAAAGAAAUCCUCUUCCUAAAGGACUAUAUGCAACAAUUCCAAUACCAAGUUCUCUACAAGUUGGAAUUAUUUCUUCCUCGACAUCUCUAGUCCAUAGAGACCAUUCUAACUGCACAGCAGUUAUAGGGUGGACAGCAUGUGCUCUCCUGAUAGUAGAAGCAGAUGCUUCAGACAAACCUAUAUACUUAAUCUUCCCUUCUUCAACUAGUUUCUUGAGUUCCCCUACUGUGACUUCGAUAGGAACUGACGUGUCAACACGAUGUUGGUAAUAAAGAUCGAUGCAAUCGACUUGAAGUCUCAUCAAACUAGCUUCACAGGCAGCUCUAACAUAAGCAGGAUCUCCAUGAAUACCUACCUUUCCAUCAGCAAAACUUAUUCCAAACUUGGUAGCUAACUCUACUUUGUGUCGAAUACCCUUCAAAGCUUCUCCAAGAAGGAUUUCAUUGGUGAAAGGACCAUACAUGUCAGAGGUGUCGAGGAAAGUGAUUCCAUUGUCAAUGGCAUGGUGAAUAAGAUCGAUCAUCUCGGCUUCUGGCUUUGGUGGACCGUAGAAACUGGACAUACCCAUGCAUCCUAAUCCUUGUGCAGAAACUUCAAGGCCUUGAGAACCUAGUUUGAUUCUUUUUAUUCCUGCCAUUUUUGGUUUCCCUUCUUCUUCCUUUCCCCUGUUUCUUCUGCUUUCUCAAAGCUAUGUAGGGACCUUUUUUGUGCUGCUUAUCACAAUAUGACGUCCUUCAUGACAAUGAUGAUAGAUUCCAUGAAAAAUAUCUGUUUGCUGUGUUAGGUGAAGAGGGCCAAAACAUUGAGCACAAUUUGUUGUAAUGAAAAUGGGCCACACAUGACACACCAACUAAUCAACUAUGAUGGUAGGAGAGCACAUCAAUUUUUUUUUAUUUUUUUCUAACUUCACAAAUUUUAUUGAUAAGCUAAACGAAUCACACAAAAGUAGAGGACAAACGCGCUACAAACUGCGUUGUUUGAGUUUGAGUAAAGAGGGCUUAUUUGUUCUGUGCUUUGUUUACCGCAAGUUCCGUAUAGAUGCUGUGAUAAAUUUAAAUCAGUUUGCUUGCCCAUUCAUGCAUUUGAAAGCUUGCCCUGGGAAGCAAUAGGUUUCUUUAGUUAGGGACUUAAGGAACUUCUCCUGAAGUAUCAAGUAUGUCUUGUAAGCCAACACUACUGGAGUAUAAAAUGUUUCAUUCUACGAGACUACAACUAUCACGACCGACAUCUCAUUGUCAAGGCGACUAAAAGGCGACUAAAAGCACAUGCGUUUCUUCUUUCCCUCCACCUUGAACAUCCAUUGUUAGACCAAAAGAGAAGACAGAAAGACCACAGAAUAUAGGUUUUACAAUGUUUGAUCAUCACUUUACUGCAUAAGCCAACUAUUUGUUGGAGAAACAGAUCUGACAAGGUCUGUCAGACUGUUUCCUUCUUAUCGAAUGAACAAGUGUAGUUUUACGCUUAGUCCCACAUGAGUUGUGGGAAGUGGAUAAAGAUUUUCAAAUACAAAAUUAUUACACUAAGGGUGUAGCUCUUUGGGUUACCAAGUUUUUGCGUGAUAGUAACUUAUCUUUUUGGUCCACCUUUUAUUUAGUUACAUUAUGAAUGGGUUCACUGGAUCAUAUUAUAUCUUUACACUAACAAAAGUGUCUGUUAGUUGAGAAAAGACACUUGUUUCAUUAAGUUCAUUAAGGGUCUGUUUGGAAACCUGGAAUUGAAAAUCAUUUUCCAAAACAUGCAACUUUGUGCAUUUGGAAGGACUUUAGUCUAUGAAUUGAAAAUAAAAAUCCUUAAAUAUCAAUGAAUCACAAGUUUCUUAUGGGGUAAAACUCUUGAUUCUAGGCUUGAUUGAAAAUUUAUUUUCUAUAAGGAAACUUUAAUACUGCCAUCUGUAUUAUUUUCCUAUUAUAUCACUUAUUUAAUUUAUUGAGGUAAUUAGCGAUACCCCCCCGGAAUUCAAGGCAACAUAGCGAUACCCCCCCAACUCCAAAAAGAUUUGUGUUAACCCCCCAAAAUUAUUUUCCGAUGAAAAAUAGACUUGAACUGCCAUAAAUACCCUUAUGCCACGUCAGCAAUGGUUUAGGUCAAAUUAAAAGUCUGAUGUGGCAUAAGGAUAUUUAUGGCAGUUCAAGUCUAUUUUUCACCAGAAAAUAAUUUUGGGGGGGUAACACAAAUCUUUUUGGAGUGGGGGGGGGGGGGGGGAUCCACCAUUUGCCCUUAAAUUCCGGGGGGAACACCAAAUAACCUUAAAUUUUUUUCUCCUUUUAAACCAAGGAUCUCAAAAUAGGAAAAAUUAAAAUUAAAAANNNNNNNNNNNNNNNNNNNNNNNNNNNNNNNNNNNNNNNNNNNNNNNNNNNNNNNNNNNNNNNNNNNNNNNNNNNNNNNNNNNNNNNNNNNNNNNNNNNNAAAAAUUUCAAUUCUUCUAAAAUCAUAAGUUUGGAAUUAUAAACUCAUUCCAAUUCCAAGAAAGUUUUCAAACAAACCCUAAGUCUGCCAAGAGAUGUGUUUGUUGAGAAAAGACGUUUUCCAACAGGUGUGUGCCUGUUGUGAACAUGCACGACUUAGCCUAUAAAUUGAGUAUGUUCUUGCCAGUAAGCACACAAUUCAUCCAAAGGGUCUGACCCGUUUCAUUAAGUUCAUUAAGUCUGCCAAGAGAUGUGCCUGUUGAGAAAAAACAUUUUCCAACAGAUGUGUGUCUGUUGUGAAUGUACCACCCAUGAGUUGGUGUUAGUCCCACAUUGCGAAGGAAGUGGUUGUUUCGGUAGUAUAUAGAGCUUAACCAUACUCUAACUAAUGUCAAGGCCUUUUGGGGUAAACCACAUGGGUGGGCCCUGAUCCAAAACUCUCUACUGCUGGAUAUCCGCAGUGACUAAAGGGGGACAAUAUUGACAUUAGCGAGCGGUAUGGUGCUCGACGCACCGGGAUGAGCGAGGACGAAAUCCCGGGGUGUUACAGUGAACAUGCACGACUUAGCCUAUAAAUUGAGUGUUGUUCUGGCCAGUAAGCACACAAUUCAUUCAAACUAAGUUUCCUUCUCUCUCUCCAUAGAAUUUGAAGUGUUCUUCUUGUUUGUUCGCCAGUACUCUGCUAUUACAGUGCAGUCUAGCAGAGUUGUCCGGUAUCUGUGUGCACCAGUAGUAGGGACGUAAUAUUGUCUUAAGGAUAUUGCGUAUCUGUGUGCACCAGUAGCAGGGACGUAAUAUUGUCUUAAGGAUAUUGCUUCGGCAAGCUUCUGUUCAUCUCCUUAAUCAAUCAAGUUGUGUAGUAAGUGUUAUUGUAUUCGUGAAUUCAAUUAAUAUAUUAUUUUUUUCUAUUUGAGUUAGUACAUUUUUUAUUUCUGUAAUUCGUUUAUUCCUGAGUUCAUAACAAUAUAAUCCCAACACUAUUUAAGGUUGACUGGUAGAGAUUGCAUAAGAAAAUUCAACUUCAGAUGAGUAAACUACUAUAAGCUAGCUACCACAUUAGAUGUUGGUUAGUCGACAAGAAAAAUUAAAUGAAUCGGAUAUGCAGUUGGAACACUCUUCCUGGCGUAUAAAUACACCAAGAAGGAGGAAGAAGAUGAGUAGACUACCUACCACUUAUUUUUAUCUUGCUCUACUACUAGAAGGAUAUGGCAGGCUGUUACUGAGCAUGUGCAUUGUGCAAGGUGCAGACGCUGCACUACAACAGUGGGGGGGGGGGGGGGGUGAUGGAGAAUUGAGUAAGGCUUAAUGGAAGAGGAGUAGGAGCUGCAGUAUUGAAGCUUUUGCCGAUGAUCGUGAUGUGGACAUGUGGUGUAUAUGGACCGACUAGAAACAGCAAAAUUUUCAAGUGAGAAGCUGUGGAAAUGACCAGCCUGAUUCGGAGAUUUAAAGUGACAACUUGGGCCUGGUUGGACUGCACAACAGAAGGAGCAGACAUAAAGAAGAGGAUAAGGGUCACAGAUGUUCUACUUCACUGGGAGAUUACGAUAACCGGUGAUUAGAUGCCUUCGAUGGGAAACUGCAACAAGGGUGGACUAUCAACAGCAAGAAUAGAACAGUUAAUGCACUCUGCCAAGCUGUUGUUACAGUCUGUCAAGAUGACACUACUGGUGACACAGUCUGACAAUCCUGUGCAGACUGUUGCGUUGCUGCAGAGUGGAAGCUGAUACUGUAGAGGGGAAGAUGUCACUGCUGAGUGGAAGCUGUUGCUGCGGGAGAUUACAGGGUGAAAAUUGAUGAGAAAGACUACCAACGAGAGGCUGCAAGUUGGGCUGAGGUAUGCAGGGACAGAGUGAAGGAAUUUACUGAAAGAUGCAGCAUGAAGAUGUGAUAAUAAUGCUGCUGCUGAUCAAGUGCUGGUAUAGUGCUGCAAUUGUACUCUAUGGUUUUCUUGUUUUUUGGUGGCUAAGGGAUAGCACUGUAAUAUGUAGAGCAGUGUCCUCUGGGAUUUACAUUACGGUGCAUUUCAACUGCAUGCUGAGCAGGCUUUGUAAGUUUGGUUUUUGGCGAUUAAAAAAAUACAACCUUUAAUCGAAAAAAGAAGAAGGAAAAUGCUGUCAAAGACUGUUUUCACUCGAAGGUGUUCAACUGGUAUAUAUGAACCAGUGGCAUUGAUUCAUUAUUUGCAAGGAGGAUACUGAAAUCGGCUUCUCUGGGGCCCUAUACGUCGAAUUGGAGAUGCUCGAUACAUAUUUGGGUUGAUCACUUCUGACCAGUUAUCUGAAAUACUUUCAAUUUGCUUAUGGGAAACUAGUAUUUUCUCAUUUGAUCUGUAUACCAAUUAAUCGUUUGAUUUCGAUAUCUAGCAACCAAUUUUGAGGUUUAGCUUGAAGUGGUUCUGUUUUACUUCCUCUAAUGAGUUCAAAUUUUGUUUUGAGAAUUGUCAAAUCAUAUCAAAUUUUCAACACAAAUUAAGCAACAUGCAACAGGCAGAAACGUCGUCAAAAUACUGAGAAAUGCAAAUUACAAACAGUGAAUUCUCUGGUACAUUAAUAUACUAAUUGCAAAACAAUAUUUACAAAAUGAAAUGACCAACUCUUUAUUUCAAACGAAAAAAAAAAAAAAAAAAAGAAACAUACUAGAUGUCUUUCAUUAAGCCUUCCAAGAUGCCAGAUCUGGAGUAUCUGACUCCUUCCAAGUCCGAGAAAGCCCUCCAUACCGAUCACCCUUAACAGCAUCGUCUGUAGCUAUGGAUUCAAGCUCAGCCAAUUCUUCUGGUGAUAGGUUUACAGAUAGAGCACCAAUGUUCUGGUUGAGGUUUCCAAUCUUAGUAGUACCAGGAAUUGGACAUACAUCAUUUCCCUGGUGAUGCACCCAUGCCAAAGCAAGUUGAGAUGGUGUGCAACCUUUUCUUACUGCAAUUUCAUUUACGCGAUCAAAUAAUACUUUGUUAUGCUCAAGAUUCUCAGGUUGAAACCUUGGUAAGUUCUUACGAGAAUCGUUAGGAGCUAAUUCUUCAACCAUCUUUGGUCCUGAGGAAAGAAAUCCUCUUCCUAAAGGACUAUAAGCAACAAUUCCGAUACCAAGUUCUCUACAAGUUGGAAUUAUUUCAUCUUCGGCAUCUCUAGUCCAUAGAGACCACUCUAACUCCACAGCAGUUAUAGGGUGCACAGCGUGUGCUCUCCUGAUAGUAGAAGCAGAUGCUUCAGACAAACCUAUAUACUUAAUCUUCCCUUCUUCAACUAGUUUCUUGAGUUCUCCUACUGUGACUUCGAUAGGAACUGACGUAUCAACACGAUGUUGGUAAUACAGAUCAAUGCAAUCGACUUGAAGUCUCAUUAAGCUAGCUUCACAAGCAGCUCUGACAUAAGCAGGAUCUCCACGAAUACUUAUCUUUCCAUCAGCAAAACUGGAUCCAAACUUGGUAGCUAACUGUACCUUGUGACGAAUACCCUUGAGAGCUUUUCCAAGAAGGAUUUCAUUAGUGAAAGGACCAUACACGUCGGACGUGUCGAGGAAGGUGAUUCCAUUGUCAAUGGCAUGGUGAAUAAG